ensembl:lncRNA OSER1-DT OSER1 divergent transcript
GGCGUGGAUUUGCUCCCGACCCGCUUUUGGGGCGUGCCUGCUUCCUCCUCUCUGUUAGAUCUCGCUCUGUCACCCAGGCUGGAGUGAAAUGGCACAAUCUUGGCUCACUGUAACCUCCGCCCCCAGGUUCGACUGAUUCUCGUGCCUCAGCCUCCUCAGUAGCUGGGAUUACAGGAUGGAGAGUAAAGGAGGUAAAGGAGGACUCUGAUGCCUCAGCCAUGCGCCUGUGUGCCGAUUCCCAUUAAGCCUGCACCAAUUUGAUUUCCAAGACUCCAGUCAAUCCUCAGAGCUCCAGGAGGGGAGGGGCAGCUUUUCCUGGUAGCUGCUGAUCACCAGCAGAGGGAGCCCUAGGACUGCAGGGCCUCUUUCCUUACCGUUGGUGAAGCCCUUCACUGUGGCUUCAAAACUGUGGAAGACCCGGGAUUUGUGGAUCACUUGCCUUUAGAAUAGAAUCAAGAAAUAAAGCUGCAGAAGAAAGAAUCUCCAUGUGGUAAGGAUUGGAAGGGAGUGUUGAGAGGGGCUUUUGGGGUGCUGGUAAUAUUGUUCUUUGACCCGAUGUUGGUUAUAGGAGUGUGUGCUAUAAUGUGGUAUAUGUACAUUUUUCUGUGCGUAUAACUAAACUUCAGUUAAAAGUUUUUAAAACUUAAACAUCUCUAUGUAUACCACAAAAUAGGUAUCAGGUUAGGGUGAGCGGUUUUUUUCCCUACAAUUCUUAACCUUAUCUGAGUCACAAGACAGCCCUCCCUCCCUUCCUCCGAGAAAGCCACAGACCACUGGUUAAGGACUUCUCCUGCAGCAGCCGAAUAGAGAAAGUGAGCAAAGGACAUGAGCAGACGGUUCACAGCAAAAGAAAUACAAAUAGCACUUAAACUUAUGAAAAAAUGCUCAAUCUCAAUCUUCAAAGAGAAGUGCUUAUAAAAAGUAUGCGGAGAUACCAUUUUUAACCUGUCAGAUUGGCAGAAAUCCCAAAGCUUGACAGCAUGCCCUGUGGAUGGGGCUGGAGGUGGGGGAGUCGGGAGAAUAAAUAGCAGGACUUUUAAUACAUUACCAGUGGGAUUGUGAAAUUGACAGCCCUGUUGAUUUGGGCAAUAUCUACCAAAAUUACAAGUCUAAGAGUCUACCCUGUAGAUGACAUUUGUACCUAUAUGUAAUAAUUUAUGUAAAAGAUGAUCCAUUGCAACAUUGGCUGCAAUAGCAAAAGAUCAGAAACAACUGAAGUGUAUGUACAGGACUGGUGCAUCCACAAAGCAAAAUACUAUAUAACUGGGAAAAAGUUUGAGGAAGCUGUGUGUGCGCUGAGGAAAGAUCUCUAAGAUAUAGGUGAAAAAAAGCACGACGUACAGCUAAGAAUAUAUGUUUGUAUUGCUUCUAUCUUCAUAAAGAAAAACUGAUAAGCUAGACAAGUAACUAAGAAGUGUUUCAGGAAGUGGUUGGGGGCCAGCAGGAGGGGCCGGGCUUCUGAGUGUAUACCUUGUGUUCUGAUUUUUGAAUCAUGUCAGUGUAUAACCUGUGCAAAACAAAACAAAGUUUAGAGUUCCUGCUCUAAAGCUGCUGAGCUA